rnacentral:rRNA from 1 species
UUUUGCGCAAUGGGCGAAAGCCUGACGCAGCGACGCCGCGUGAGGGAAGAAGGUCUUCGGAUCGUAAACCUCUGUCGGAGGGGAAGAAACUUCAGGGUGCUAAUACCAUCCUGGAUUGACGGUACCCUCUGAGGAAGCAUCGGCUAACUACGUGCCAGCAGCCGCGGUAAUACGUAGGAUGCAAGCGUUGUUCGGAAUUAUUGGGUGUAAAGGGCGCGUAGGCGGCUUGGCCAGUCACGGGUGAAAGCCCCCGGCUUAACCGGGGAAUUGCCCGUGAUACUACCAAGCUCGAGUACGGGAGAGGGAAGUGGAAUUCCUGGUGUAGCGGUGAAAUGCGUAGAUAUCAGGAGGAACACCGGUGGCGAAGGCGGCUUCCUGGACCGAUACUGACGCUGAGGCGCGAAAGCGUGGGUAGCAAACAGG